AGCCUGUCACUAUGGACAAAGUUCAUUACUGUGAAAGAUUCAUCGAACUUAUGAUUGAUCUAGAGGCUCUGCUCCCCACAAGGCGCUGGUUCAACACCAUCCUGGAUGACUCCCACCUCUUGGUGCACUGUUACCUUUCCAGUCUUGUCCACAGGGAAGAGGAUGGCCAUCUGUUUUCCCAGGUGAGCCUAGUGGAUCGGACACAUUUAAUGCUGUCAUCUCUUAAGUUGGUCUUUGCCUUGCCAUGUAGCCAAAGUAAAAGUCUUAAAUAUGGACCUGUAUGUUGUAGAUUCCUGGUCAGUUUAAAAUAAAACAAGAAUUUAUAAACUGAAUUUGUACUAGAAUGCACCUACUUAAUCCUAGUAAUCACCGAGGUUGUAUGUUAACUAUAUGUUCCUUCAUUAUUGAGCUAAAGUAUCACUUUACAAGUAUAGUGCCAGGUGUUCACAUCUUUCACUUGUGUGUGCAAAACCCCCGUGGGACAUAACAGGUGAGAACUUGACUGCCAGUGAGUUGUACCCCUGUGCCAUGGCUCACUCUUGCCUGUGACAGCAGUGACAGGCAGUUGAUAGUGUGGAACUUAAGAGUAGGAAGGCAAAUGUACUUUACUUUAUUGCCUUGGGUAAGAAAGAAAUGUGUUGGUAUUUCAGAUUUCCUGUAUUGUCAAGUGAAAGGAAAUGUCUAACGUGUGUAAUUGUGUUUUCCAGGGAGAGUUAAUUGGAGAUGCAGGUCUUAUGUGUGUGACGUACUCUAGCUCAUGUCUUACUAAGCACUUUUCUGUUUUCAUUCAAAAAAAAAAAAAUCUACCAA
rnacentral:lncRNA from 1 species